GAGACCCUGACCCUGAGCAGGACUUCAAUGAAGAGAAGAUUUCCCUGGCACCUCUUCCUCACAGAAAAGCUCUAAACACACACCAACAAAGGAGCAACUCUCAAAAUUCAGAGACAGCAUGCUUGAGAAGGCCAAUAUGAUAUGAUUGCUGGUGAAGGCUCAUGUGACAGUGGUAGAGAAGCAGUCACCUGGGGGGGAUAAAAGGGGCAGCGCACCUGGCUCCAAGAGAGAAGACGAUGAGAGAUGAAGG